GCUUGCAUUACACAUUCAUUCCUGUCAUGAGUGGUCGUUUUUUAGACUCUUCCAUGCAUGAUCAUUUGAAAGAAAAGACCAUACAUAUGUAUCAGGUGAUGAAAGUAGAAAAACCUGAGGGCCAACAUGUUUGGAUUAGUCCUUGUUUAGUUGCCAAAAAAUUCUGGGAAACGCUACUGUAGCACUUUCAUUUGUAUUUGACAAACAUUGUCGA
rnacentral:lncRNA from 1 species